AUUCCUGCGAGCCUCGUGAUCUGAAACGAUGGCAGAGUAAAAUAACUGUACUCGGAUACACAUCAACAUAUACUGUUCACUUUAUGCUCGAAUUUAAUGGCCCAGGUGGAUCCUGAGGGUACCGAAACUCUCUGGGACACAAACGCCUGUGUGUAUACACACAAAUUGACUCACAUACAAUGAUGUGUGUACAUUAGUUAUGUUUGUUUUACAAAAGUGCCAAUGCGGCCCAAAGGCGAGUGGAACAACAAAAUGUAUUACGAAAGGACUGAGAAAAGUAUUGACAUACCGAUGUGGAAGAAAUAUUGGUGAUUUUCCUAAAUAAACUCACAAAAAAUGUCGCUUUUUUCA